AGUAAAAUAUGAGUGUAAUAAACAUAAAAAAUUUAAUAUUUGAGGAAGAGAAAGAAGAAUUCUCUUGGGACGAAAACGCAUUAAAAGCUUUCAAAAAGGUUAUCAGAGAUCAAGGAUUUAAAUUUCAAAUGGACGAUAUUUUUCUUCUUGGUUUUCUUCGUGCUAGAAAGUAUGAUAUUGAAAGAUCUCUUCAGUUACUUAAAAACUACUUCAAAAUUUGAAUAUGAUGCAGUUUUUACCAAAACCCGAUCAGGACGGAAGUUACAUUUUCGUUUACCAAUUUCGUAAUUGGGAUACUUCUGUUGCAAAUGGUAUUGAGCUCCUGCGUGCCAUAAUGAUUGUUAUGGAUUUUCAAUUAAAUUUUCACAGAACACAAGAAAAGAAAAUUGUUUGUAUUAUUGACUCAGCCGGUAUAUCAUUGACGCAUUUCUACCAUUUUUCACCUAGAAUCAUCAGUUCAAUGGUGACUUUU
rnacentral:misc_RNA from 1 species